AAACGCUGGCUCUUAAUGUGUGAUUGAAUUUGGCUAUUGAUUUCUGUGUUCUCGUUUUGAUGUGUGGAAAUUAAGGUAACAAGAGAAGCUUUGGGGAGAUUGAGGACGAAGAUGAUUUCUUUGGCUCAAAGCAGGUUAAAGCAAAAGUCGAAGAAAUUGCUCCCGGUGUUGCAACAGGAAUGAUUUUGUCUCUGCGUGAGAGUCUUCAUUACUAUCUAAGGAUGAUCUUGCAAAGUGCCAAAUGGAAUAUGAUGCUGCAAAAUCUGAGGUUCAGAAGUGGCAUUCUGCAUUUCAGAAUGAACCCUUUAUAAAUCCGGGGACUUCUCCUGACCCUGAAAAACUCCGAGGACUCACUGAAAGAACAGUUGGAGAAAGCAAAGAAAAAGGAAGCUGCAUUCAUAGUUACAUUUGCAAAACGGGAUCUUAGAGCUCAACUCAAGCCACCAUCAUUGCAGGCCAGAAGGUAUUGAGGUUGUACAUACGCUUGCAGCUUGCUGCCUUUAUCAAGAAGAAAAGGCAUAAAAAAUGAUGCAAUUCAUCAACAAUCAAGGAUGCAUAAAGAUUUGUUAUUUUGUAUGCAGAUUUGGUAUUGAAUCUAUUGAUGGAAGGCUGGAAGCCUUGUUGCAUUGAUGAAGAGGAACUGAGGAAGCCAUGCUGGAAAUGUUUGAUUGUUUGCAGUAAUGCACUUUGAUGAAAUAUUGAUCAUUCAUGAACUUUUUCAAUUUUAGUUGGUUUGUUU